rnacentral:lncRNA from 1 species
GGAGGAAGGCGGAGGGAUAUUCGGACCGGACCUCUCCGCGGAGGCGCCGCGCUCCACGACGAUUGGCCGUUGUCCUGGCCACGCGGAAUCCCUAACUGGCCAGGCGCUCAGCGUCGAAGGGCCGUCUCGCGCCCAUUCGCCUGCUGGUUUCAAGGCCCGGGUUGGCUGGGCGGGCAGCGGAAUGGAGCGCGCGGAUUGGCCGAGGGGAGGGAGAUUGGGAUGGGGUAGGAGAGAGCCCGCCGUUGAUUGGGUGGGCUUGGUAAAGGCCUUGAGCUCAGACCGGCUGAGCGCUGGGAGGAGGGUGGACCGGAGGCACGACUCGGAUCCUGCGCGAUUGGCUGGGAUAGUAGGCGUUGAUAGGAUAGGGUGCCCGGGAGAACUAAGGAGAGGAGUUCGGGGUCGGGGCGCGGGAAGGCGGGAGGUGCCCGGCAACCCUAGGAGCCCGGCGCGGGGCACGAUGGGACGCCCCCGGGAAGAGGCGGAGCUGGGUUCGAGCGCUGGGGCUGCGGUUGGGUAAGCGCCGUCGCUCCGAGGGGCGUGUUGCGCGAGGUUUUCGCGGGCCUGAGCGGGGGAGGGGGGACUGUUGAAGUCCUGCGCCGCGCCCACAGGAAGCUGCUUUAAUGGCUAGGUCGGCUUGGUACCCUGCUUUCGGCUGGGAGGGAUCCGUAAGGCCAUGUGGCUCCACUGCCAAUGUGUAGAUGUGGAAACUGAAGCCCAGAGAGGGUAUGGAACUUGUCCAAGGUCACACAGCUGGUUAAUGGCUUGGUAAGGAAUGGGUUCAGGAGCCCAGAGAGGGUCUGGAACUUGUCCAAGGUCACACAGCUGGUUAGUGGCUUGAUAAGCUCAAGCUCUCCUGACGGCCCUUGUCCCUACAAGCAGCUUCCUCUCCAAGGAGUCCCCUAAGCCUGCUUAUAUGGGGCUUGAGACCUGUGCUGUGAUAAAUCUGACUUGCUUAGGGGUGAGCUAAGGGAUUCCUCCUCUUAGACCCCCCAUCCAUAGCUACCAGGUACUUGACAGGAUGGAAAUGUUUCACCCUCCAAAAGUACCCUGUAAAGGCCCAACCUCGAACCAGAAAGAAUGUGUGUACAGGAAUAAAGGAUUGUGGUUCUUAACCUGUUUCAGUUCUCAACCCCGGAAGAAACUCAUGAAUGCCUUUUCUUAGCAAAAUGCAUAUAAAGAAAACGUGGGCCGGGCGCUGUGGCUCGCGCCUGUAAUCCCAGCACUUUGGGAGGCCGAGGGGGGCGGAUGACGAGUCAAGAGAUCGAGACCAUCCUGGCCAACAUGGUGAAACCCCGUCUCUACUAAAAUAUAAAAAAUUAGCCCGGUGUGGUGGCGCGUACCUGAAGUCCAAGCUAUUCCUGAGGCUGAGGCAGGAGAAUCGCUUGAACCCUGGACGCAGAGGUUGCAGUGAGCCGAUAUCGCGCCACUGCAGUCCAGCCUGGCGACAGAGCGAGACUCCAUCUCAAAGAAAAGAAAAAAAAUGUGCAUACAGUAUGUGGCUCAGGCCUGCAAUCCCAGGACUUUGGGAGGAUCGCUUGAGCCCAGGGGUUCAAGACUAACCUGGACAACUUAGCGAGAUCCUGUCUCUUUUAAAAAAAAUGAAGAUUUUUAAAAUGAUAAAGGAAAAGUGUAAUAAUAGGGCCGGGCGCGGUGGCUCAUGCCUGUAAUCCCAGCACUUUGGGAGGCCGAGGCGGGCGGAUCACUUGAGGUCAGGAGUUCAAGACCAGUCUGGCCAACAUGGUGAAACCCUGUCUCUACUAAAAAUACAAAAAAAAAAAAAAAACCUAGCCGAGCGUGGUGGCGCACGCCUAUAAUCUCAGCUCCUCAGGAGGCUGAGACAGAAUCUCUUGAACCCGGGAGGCAGAGGUUGCAGUGAGCCAAGACUUCACCACUGCACUUCAGCCUGGGCGACAGUUAAGACUCUCAAAAAAAGAAAAAAUAAAUGGUAACAAAGAAUUUCUUGAAUUGUUUCAUUUUCACAGUAAUGAUGUAGGGGUAAUUGGAUGUAGCUGGUUCAUAGAGCUUUUUACCAUAUGACUUGAGCUUGUGAGGUAAUUGCCCUGCAGUAGCCACACUGGGAAAACCUAGGAGGAAGUCUGACUUUGUUGAAAGGUUUCACAAAGAAUUAGGAAAGAUUGGCCAACUCUUUGUUAAAAGAGGAAGAAAUGGUCUUUCUCUGCUAGAGAUAUCUUUGCAGUUUUGAAGCUAGAAAUGUAGGGACACCAUUCCUCACACCAUACUGUGACUAGUGGAUUUCCCAUGGCUUAGCAGCUAACCCCAGCCUUUUGCUUCAUCUAUUAACUGUGGAAGAACUGCCCUGUGUGUGUAACUUUGUUAUAAAUCAGUGAAGAUUGGGCCAGGGCGUGGUGGGUCACGCCUUUAAUCCCA